GAUAAACGCUGGCGGCGCACAUAAGACAUGCAAGUUGAACGGACUUAAUCGAAAUAUUUAUAUUUUGAAGCGGUUAGUGGCGGACUGGUGAGUAACGCGUAAGGAACCUGCCUAUUAGAGGGGAAUAACAGUGAGAAAUCAUUGCUAAUACCGCAUAUGCCAUAGAUAUCACAUGAUAACAGUGGGAAAGGAGCAAUCCGCUAAUAGAUGGCCUUGCGUCUGAUUAGAUAGUUGGUGGGGUAACGGCCUACCAAGUCGACGAUCAGUAGCCGGACUGAGAGGUGGGACGGCCACAUUUGGAGUGAGAUACGGCCCAGACUCCUACGGGAGGCAGCAGUGGGGAAUAGUGCGCAAUGGAGGAAACUCUGACGCAGUGACGCCGCGUAUAGGAAGAAGGUUUUCAGAUUGUAAACUAUUGUCGUUAGGGAAGAGAAAGGAGGGUACCAAAGGAGAAAGCUCCGGCUAACUACGU
rnacentral:rRNA from 1 species